ACAGUAAGACAUGCAGAUAUUGCUGCUUUAGUCUCAAUAGCAACAUCAGCAGCAGCAGUAGCAAAAGCAGCAACAACACCCACAAUGCAACAAUCAACAGUGCCAUUGCUGAGCUCUUUCAAAUGUAUGAGGCUUGGGAAAACUUAUAUCGAGACUCACCUUUGGUCGAGGAUCACCCAAAACCACUCGGUGCCAAGCAAUGAAAUUAUCAGCUGCCACUUGACAUGACCACUGUACACACCUGGGAGUCAGGUUUAAGGUCACAUCAGCUUAAAUGUUCACGGCAGUAAGAAAAUGAAAGAUCUUAAAGGGACUUGUUCACAGAUUGUGUGGGUAAGUUGACAGACCUCAUUGGCAUUACUAAAAAAAUGGCAACAAUUUUAAAUGAAUAAACAUAUGACUACAACUUAUACCAAUAUAUUGCGGUACAUAGUGUAUAGUAUCGCAAUAUGCUUUUACUGCCUUGAAUACAAAUAUAAAUUACCCCAGUUUGGAAUCCAAAUAAAGGCAGUUUUUUUUAUUUUACGUCCUUAAUUUUUAUUAUUUUAAUUAUUUUAGGUUAUUCCAUAAACUGUAUUUUAUUGGUUUUAAUAAUGUUUGUAAAAAUAUAUUGAGAACUCGAUGACCACUAUAUCUUAAAACAAAAUGACUGCAGAACAGGUCUUAAACAUUUUCCUUUAAAUAUGUCACUAUCUUUCUCAGUAAACACAAUGUCUGCAGAAAGAAUAACCUCUUUCCCUUUAAAGAAAUCUCAAUAUGUUUUUUACUGCAAACGGAUUUAUUACAGAACUGGAAUCUAUCUUUGAACAUUUUCCUGCAGUAUUCUCCAUCAUUUGCAGUUAACAAGAUGACUGAACAACAUGGCAUCAAUGGCAGGGAAGAAGUGAUCAAGGGGGGGUAAUCAGGUGCAAGUCAAGAUGGCGACGUCCAUGCCAAGACUGAAAACCCUGAUUGCAAAGCGUAGAGUCUGCUCCGGAAGCAUUUGCACACAAGGCACAAACAUCAGCUGCAAUAAUCGUCUUGAUAUUCUGUCAUCGCCAUGGUGCAUGACCCUCAGUCUAUGAACAUAGGUUAUCUUGG